GACGUAGGUGGCAAGCGUUGUCCGGAUUUACUGGGCGUAAAGAGCGCGCAGGCGGUCGUUCAAGUCGCGUGUGAAAGCCCCCGGCUCAACUGGGGAGGGUCACGCGAUACUGAUCGACUGGAAGGCAGGAGAGGGUAGUGGAAUUCCCGGUGUAGUGGUGAAAUGCGUAGAUAUCGGGAGGAACACCAGUGGCGAAGGCGACUACCUGGCCUGUUCUUGACGCUGAGGCGCGAAAGCUAGGGGAGCAAACGGGG
rnacentral:rRNA from 1 species